AAUAAGUUUUACACUAUUCACGUUUAAUAUUUGAUCUUUUGUCUUAUUUGAAAAUUUUUUAUGAUUAGUAUUUUUAUUGCUAUUAGAUAAUAAAACAUAAAUAGUACUUUAUGUGUGACUAAAUAUUUUUAAAUUUUUCAUAAAUUUUUUAAAUAAGACGGACGGUUAAACGUUAAACACGAAUAGCUAUCUAGGUAGUACUACAC
rnacentral:pre_miRNA from 1 species